CGGUUAUAAAAUGAAAGGAACAAGAGAAUGUAUCUCAACUAGGCCAAUACGACGCCGUAGUGAUGGUUAUCGCAUGUUGCGGUUCGGGGAGAUGUUUGCGAUUGCUGACUGGAGGCGUGACUCGCGAGUGGCGUCGACGUGAUUUCCACGCCCUUGGGCCCCACCUACAAGGACGACGACUCAAGCAGGACACAAUCCCGCAUGCUUUCGUUUCGUUGUUUUAACAUCCUAUUUCCGUGCUUCGCCUAACCUUUGACGGUCCAACCUGCAUUUUCAAAAUCACAUUAUUUGUUGAUUAAAAUAAAUUUAAAAAAAUUAAAAAUGAGGUCAGCUUAAACUUCGCAUAUAAAGAGCUCACAUACAACACAAUCUUCGGCAUCUUCAUCAUCGGAGCCAGUCACGACUUUUCAACCCCCAUCUUCCCUCCUGCACGCGCUUUCUUUUUCUUCUCUCUU
rnacentral:lncRNA from 1 species